rnacentral:rRNA from 1 species
GAUGAGCGCUGGCGGCGUGCUUAACACAUGCAAGUCGAGCGAGUGAGUUCUUCGGAACGAUCUAGCGGCGGACGGGUGAGUAACACGUGGGCAACCUGCCUCAUAGAGGGGAAUAGCCUCCCGAAAGGGAGAUUAAUACCGCAUAAAAUUAUCGAGUGGCAUCACCUGAUAAUCAAAGGAGUAAUCCGCUAUGAGAUGGGCCCGCGGCGCAUUAGCUAGUUGGUGAGGUAACGGCUCACCAAGGCGACGAUGCGUAGCCGACCUGAGAGGGUGAUCGGCCACAUUGGGACUGAGACACGGCCCAGACUCCUACGGGAGGCAGCAGUGGGGAAUAUUGCACAAUGGGGGAAACCCUGAUGCAGCAACGCCGCGUGAGUGAUGAAGGUCUUCGGAUUGUAAAGCUCUGUCUUUGGGGACGAUAAUGACGGUACCCAAGGAGGAAGCCACGGCUAACUACGUGCCAGCAGCCGCAGUAA